AGAAGUAUUCACCUGCUGUACCUGGGCUCUGUGUUGGACUUAAACACAAUAUGUGGAGUUUAAACUCAACUUGCUGUCCUGACUGAGGGCUCAGACAUUGAACUGUUCAGUGGUCAGGUUUUGGUAAAAGACGGGUUUCUGGACCAAUCCAGCACCCAGAGGAGCAUCCAGUGAAGAUAACACCCAUCGAAGAACGGAGAUUCCAGUUGUUCCAGUUAACUGGAUGGCGAGCCAAUCUACGAGUUCUUGAGAGUGAUUGUAUAGACUAAUUCAUCUAAGGAUUGACCUCCUUCACCACUUCACAGUGUGGUAGGGCAGAGCUGUUGACCUGCAUGUGCCACACUGUGUGCCAAACUGAACCUGAGAUAACCACGCCAAACCGACACACACCAGCACUGUGCCAGCCACGUUUUUGGAGCCACAGAUCACAUUCCUGACCCAACCAAAUGAUCAGUGCAACAGUCAUGAAACCUUCAACCGGAGAGGGCGGCAGAACACUGUUUUCAGCAGGUGACUUGUUAAAGAAAGUAUGCUCUGCUCCUCUGAGAGAGAAAGCUGAAUGAGGUCCCAAGGUGCUCUGCUGCACUACGUGUAUGAUUUCAU